CCCAGCUCUAAGUCAGCUGACCAGGCGUUGUGUGUCUGGCUCAGUGUUACAGGGCUGGUAGAGAAUGUCUCUGUACUUUGUCUCAGCCACGCAGGUUCUGUUUUAGAGCCUGCUGCCGCUAAGCUGCUGCAGAGCGUGGCCCGACGAGAGUGGCCUGUCCUGAUCCAACGUGCAGGACGGGCCUAGUGCAGGGCUGCACACU
ensembl:snoRNA SNORA74 Small nucleolar RNA SNORA74